UUCAACCAUGUGAUUCUAACUCCUCUUACCAGUUCAGUAUGGCCCAGUGGGGGUGAGCCACACAGAGGGAAGACAAGAAGGAGACUAUGACAUUUUACCGCUUAGACAAAGACCGUGUGCGAACGCGAUGGAAGAGGGUGUGUAUGACUGUCCUAUAUCUUACAGGAGGGCUGCUGAAAAUCCGAACGCUGCAGAGAGCAUCUAUGACGUACCCAGCUCUCUGUUGAGGAGGAGGCCUGAUCACACUUUAGUUGCAGAGGUGCAGCCGGAGGACGGAGACUACUGGAGGAUAUGAGAUCCAGCUGGAGGACACGAUAGUCUGGAGCACUCUCUCCAAACCUGUGGACCAGACGCAGAAUACCAAGCUGCCUAAUAUCUGUAGCGAUGCAUUUAAACACACACACACACACACACACACACACACACACACACACACACACACACACACACACACACACACACACACACACACACACACACACACACUGUAUUUAUGCAACAUGUUUGUCACCUUAGUUACACUUUUGGUUGCUAGACAAAAUGCACAACCACAAGUCGGUUUCAGCUGUGGUAUUUAUUUCAUCUCUUUCUAUACAAGACAGAGAUCAUCUAUAACUAGAAUUAACACACUGUACAGACAUGUCAACACACACGGUGGGCCAGUCACACCAUGGUUCACAAUAGUGAAGUUACUCAUUUACACCACUUUCACAGUUUUAAAGUAUACACCACCAGCUGUAUUGCUGUUUUACACACUUUGGACUGGUUUGAAUGGGAAUGCUUCCAAAACCCCUUUAUGGGUUUAAUGCAAUAUAC